GACGUACUGCGCGAACGUUAUUCGGAAUCACUGGGCUUAAAGGGUGCGCAGGCGGCUCUCCAAGCCCGAAGUGAAAGGUCCCGGCCCAACCGGGGACGUGCUUCGGGGACUUGAGGGCUCGGGCGAGCUAGGGGUCUGUGGAACUCCCGGUGGAGCGGUGAAAUGUGUUGAGAUCGGGAGGAACGCCGGUGGCGAAAGCGACAGACUGGGGCUUUGCCGACGCUCAUGCACGAAGGCCAGGGGAGCGAACGGG
rnacentral:rRNA from 1 species